rnacentral:rRNA from 1 species
CCUACGGGUGGCAGCAGUGGGGAAUAUUGGACAAUGGGGGCAACCCUGAUCCAGCCAUGCCGCGUGUGUGAAGAAGGCCCUCGGGUUGUAAAGCACUUUCAGUGAGGAAGAACGCCUGGUGGUUAAUACCCAUCAGGAAAGACAUCACUCACAGAAGAAGCACCGGCUAACUCCGUGCCAGCAGCCGCGGUAAUACGGAGGGUGCGAGCGUUAAUCGGAAUUACUGGGCGUAAAGCGCGCGUAGGUGGCUUGAUAAGCCGGUUGUGAAAGCCCCGGGCUCAACCUGGGAACGGCAUCCGGAACUGUCAAGCUAGAGUGCAGGAGAGGAAGGUAGAAUUGCCGGUGUAGCGGUGAAAUGCGUAGAGAUCGGGAGGAAUACCAGUGGCGAAGGCGGCCUUCUGGACUGACACUGACACUGAGGUGCGAAAGCGUGGGUAGCAAACAGGAUUAGAUACCCCAGUAGUC